CAAUCGCCGCGGUAAUACAGAGGGUGCGAGCGUUAAUCGGAUUUACUGGGCGUAAAGCGUGCGUAGGCGGCUUUUUAAGUCGGAUGUGAAAUCCCUGAGCUUAACUUAGGAAUUGCAUUCGAUACUGGGAAGCUAGAGUAUGGGAGAGGAUGGUAGAAUUCCAGGUGUAGCGGUGAAAUGCGUAGAGAUCUGGAGGAAUACCGAUGGCGAAGGCAGCCAUCUGGCCUAAUACUGACGCUGAGGUACGAAAGCAUGGGGAGCAAACAGGAUUAGAUACCCCAGUAGUCCCUGUCUCUUAUAC
rnacentral:rRNA from 1 species